rnacentral:rRNA from 1 species
AUUGAACGCUGGCGGCAGGCCUAACACAUGCAAGUCGAGCGGAUGAAGGGAGCUUGCUCCUGGAUUCAGCGGCGGACGGGUGAGUAAUGCCUAGGAAUCUGCCUGGUGGUGGGGGAUAACGUCCGGAAACGGGCGCUAAUACCGCAUACGUCCUGAGGGAGAAAGUGGGGGAUCUUCGGACCUCACGCUAUCAGAUGAGCCUAGGCCGGAUUAGCUAGUUGGUGGGGUAAAGGCCUACCAAGGCGACGAUCCGUAACUGGUCUGAGAGGAUGAUCAGUCACACUGGAACUGAGACACGGUCCAGACUCCUACGGGAGGCAGCAGUGGGGAAUAUUGGACAAUGGGCGAAAGCCUGAUCCAGCCAUGCCGCGUGUGUGAAGAAGGUCUUCGGAUUGUAAAGCACUUUAAGUUGGGAGGAAGGGCAGUAAGUUAAUACCUUGCUGUUUUGACGUUACCAACAGAAUAAGCACCGGCUAACUUCGUG